rnacentral:tRNA from 1 species
GCCGAAGUGGUGAAAUGGUAGACGCGGUGGACUCAAAAUCCACUACCCUCAAAAGUGUGUCGGUUCGAGUCCGACCUUCGGCACCA